AGAGUUUGAUCCUGGCUCAGGAUGAACGCUGGCGGCAUGCCUAAUACAUGCAAGUCGAACGAGAGGAAGGAAAGCUUGCUUUCCUAAAUCUAGUGGCGAACGGGUGAGUAACACGUAGGUAACCUGCCCAUGUGCCCGGGAUAACUUCUGGAAACGGAUGCUAAAACCGGAUAGGUAGCAGACAAGCAUUUGACUGCUAUUAAAGUGGCUAAGGCCAUGAACAUGGAUGGACCUGCGGUGCAUUAGCUAGUUGGUGAGGUAACGGCCCACCAAGGCGACGAUGCAUAGCCGGCCUGAGAGGGCGGACGGCCACAUUGGGACUGAGACACGGCCCAAACUCCUACGGGAGGCAGCAGUAGGGAAUUUUCGUCAAUGGGGGGAACCCUGAACGAGCAAUGCCGCGUGAGUGAGGAAGGUCUUCGGAUCGUAAAGCUCUGUUGUAAGAGAAAAACGGCACUCAUAGGGAAUGAUGAGUGAGUGAUGGUAUCUUACCAGAAAGUCACGGCUAACUACGUGCCAGCAGCCGCGGUAAUACGUAGGUGGCGAGCGUUAUCCGGAAUUAUUGGGCGUAAAGAGGGAGCAGGCGGCACUAAGGGUCUGUGGUGAAAGAUCGAAGCUUAACUUCGGUAAGCCAUGGAAACCGUAGAGCUAGAGUGUGUGAGAGGAUCGUGGAAUUCCAUGUGUAGCGGUGAAAUGCGUAGAUAUAUGGAGGAACACCAGUGGCGAAGGCGACGAUCUGGCGCAUAACUGACGCUCAGUCCCGAAAGCGUGGGGAGCAAAUAGGAUUAGAUACCCUAGUAGUCCACGCCGUAAACGAUGAGUACUAAGUGUUGGGUGUCAAAGCUCAGUGCUGCAGUUAACGCAAUAAGUACUCCGCCUGAGUAGUACGUUCGCAAGAAUGAAACUCAAAGGAAUUGACGGGGGCCCGCACAAGCGGUGGAGCAUGUGGUUUAA
rnacentral:rRNA from 1 species